AGUGAACGCUGGCGGUAGGCCUAACACAUGCAAGUCGAACGGCAGCACAGAGGAGCUUGCUCCUUGGGUGGCGAGUGGCGGACGGGUGAGGAAUACAUCGGAAUCUACUCUGUCGUGAGGGAUAACGUAGGGAAACUUACGCUAAUACCGCAUACGACCUACGGGUGAAAGCAGGGGAUCUUCGGACCUUGCGCGAUUGAAUGAGCCGAUGUAGGAUUAGCUAGUUGGCGGGGUAAAGGCCCACCAAGGCGACGAUCCGUAGCUGGUCUGAGAGGAUGAUCAGCCACACUGGAACUGAGACACGGUCCAGACUCCUACGGGAGGCAGCAGUGGGGAAUAUUGGACAAUGGGCGCAAGCCUGAUCCAGCCAUACCGCGUGGGUGAAGAAGGCCUUCGGGUUGUAAAGCCCUUUUGUUGGGAAAGAAAUCCAUCUGGUUAAUACCCGGGUGGGAUGACGGUACCCAAAGAAUAAGCACCGGCUAACUCCGUGCCAGCCGCCGCAGUAA
rnacentral:rRNA from 1 species